rnacentral:misc_RNA from 1 species
UCUUUACACCCCCCCCCCCCCAAAAAUUUUAUUUAUUAAAAAAAAAAAAAAAAAAAAAAAAAAAAAAAAAAAAAAAAAAAAAAAAAAAAAAAAUACUCUGUAAAUCAAUAAAACACAUAAAUGCAUAAUCAAAAAAAAAAAAAAGAUCAAUAUACUCAUAAUUAAAAAAAAAAAAAAAAAAAAAAAAAAAAAAAAAAAAAAAAAAAAAAAAAAAAAAAAAAAAAAAAAAAAAAAACCAUAUAUACUUUACUACC